ACACUACUGAGGAGUCGCAUAAUAGGACGAAACGGCCGUUCAGUGC
rfam:Schistosoma rodhaini strain Burundi genome assembly, scaffold: SROB_scaffold0004734